UGAUGAAACAUGCCUGGGAUAAUUAUAAGCGUUACGCAUGGGGAUUAAAUGAACUGAAACCCAUAUCUAAGCAAGGACAUUCAAGCAAUUUAUUUGGUAACAUUCAAGGAGCAACAAUAGUGGAUGCCCUUGACACACUAUACAUCAUGGAAAUGAAAGAGGAAUUCAAGGAAGCCAAGGAGUGGGUUGAAAAAAACUUAGAUUUCAAUGUGAAUGCUGAAAUUUCAGUAUUUGAAGUGAACAUCCGUUUCGUUGGUGGACUACUUUCAGCUUAUUAUCUUUCAGGAGAAGAGGU